CAAAAUAAAAGUCCCGCCUCGAACACAUCAGCCAAGCAGAAUAACUUAUCAGCUGAUGCCGAUAUUUGAAAAAUUGGCCUUGGUGAUAUAUCGGUCGAUCACUACAGGUAAUCUGGGGAAAAUCAUUGUUUAAUUUACAGCAUCAUUUACUCUUACCAGACUCGUGCAGGAUUCUUGCUCUAUGUCUGGUCCACCCUUUUUCUGGCUGUGGUGCCUCCAUUGUCCUAACACUCUUCAGCAACCUGUCAAGAUCUUUAUAUGGUGGCCACCAGGAGUAGCCAUCUGCAUACCAGGACUUGGCAGCUGGUCCAGUCGUCCCUUCUCCCUCAAACUCCACGAUUAGAAAUCAACUGUUGUUGAGAGGUCAUCCACUAAAUCAAUGCCAAGUGUAGAGGAUGGCAGUGGAUAGUCAAACAAGGAUUCCUGGUGGUUGAAGGACAAGAAUUGUGGACCAUACAGUUGACCAAAGUGAGAGACAACGAGCACCACCUACAAGUCAGAGGACCCAUCUUCAGCCACAAGAGAAGAAGCUGUCUCAUGAUGGUGCAUGUGGUCGAGGGGGAAACCA